UCUGAGUCUGUGAUUCUGUGAUUGAUUCUAUGUUUCUAUUUUCUUUGAUUCUGUGUUUCUGUGAUUCAUUCUCUAUUUCUAUGAUUCUAUUCUCUGGCUCCAUGGCUAGCUGGCCUGGAAGAGCUUUUCUCUGAGCUAUUAAACUUCUCAAUCUCCAAGGAAGAUGGCCACCUACAAGUUUAUUCUGAGAGCAGUUUCUUGCCCAUACUAAUUCCCAGCCAUUGCCAGGGUUUGUUUGGGUCAGUGCUCACUGAGGGGAGGCAAACACAGGAUGCUGGAGGUCAGAAUGGUUCUCACUAGAGGUCUUCUGCAAGUGCCCCCAGCUCCUGGGAGAGGUGCAUUUGCAAUGGGACAGGGCUGUGUCAAGAUGAGCAGAAAUACAACCCACCCUGGCUCAGCUGAGCUGAGUGGCAAUGGAUUGAUCUGCUCCACCAUCAACCAGCAAAGAGAAAGUGAUUCUGCAGCUAACUGCUACCUUUUAAAGAGGUCUGUGUAUAUGGUGUUUGUGCAGGAGAAUUCACUGUCAUGAAUCAGGUGAGGUGCUGCACUGAUGCCCACAUUGAGUCUUCUGAGAGAGUGAAACAAUCUGACAUGAACUGACAUUAACACCAUCCCAGUAAAAAAUAAACCUUUGUGGAGGAGGAAAAGCACAACCCACCACUAUAAUCCAAA